rnacentral:rRNA from 1 species
GACGAACGCUGGCGGCGUGCUUAACACAUGCAAGUCGAACGGAAAGGCCCUGCUUUUGUGGGGUGCUCGAGUGGCGAACGGGUGAGUAACAAGUGAGUAACCUGCCCUUGACUUUGGGAUAACUUCAGGAAACUGGGGCUAAUACCGGAUAGGAGCUCCUGCUGCAUGGUGGGGGUUGGAAAGUUUCGGCGGUUGGGGAUGGACUCGCGGCUUAUCAGCUUGUUGGUGGGGUAGUGGCUUACCAAGGCUUUGACGGGUAGCCGGCCUGAGAGGGUGACCGGCCACAUUGGGACUGGGAUACGGCCCAGACUCCUACGGGAGGCAGCAGUGGGGAAUAUUGCACAAUGGGCGGAAGCCUGAUGCAGCAACGCCGCGUGCGGGAUGACGGCCUUCGGGUUGUAACCCGCUUUCGCCUGUGACGAAGCGUGAGUGACGGUAAUGGGUAAAGAAGCACCGGCUAACUACGUG